UACGUAGGGUGCAAGCGUUGUUCGGAAUGACUGGGCGUAAAGGGCGCGUAGGCGGGUCUGUAUGUCGAUUGUGAAAGCCCUGGGCUCAACCUGGGAAUUGCAGUCGAAACUGCAGAUCUUGAGUGCCUGAGAGGAUGGCGGAAUUCCCGGUGUAGAAGUGAAAUUCGUAGAUAUCGGGAAGAACACCUGAGGCGAAGGCGGCUAUCUGGCGGUGCACUGACGCUGAGGCGCGAAAGCGUGGGGAGCAAACAGG
rnacentral:rRNA from 1 species